rnacentral:rRNA from 1 species
GAUGAACGCUGGCGGCGUGCCUAAUACAUGCAAGUCGAGCGAACAGAUGAGGAGCUUGCUCCUCUGACGUUAGCGGCGGACGGGGGAGUAACACGUGGAUAACCUACCUAUAAGACUGGGAUAACUUCGUGAAACCGGAGCUAAUACCGGAUAAUAUAUUGAACCGCAUGGUUCAAUAGUUAAAGACGGUUUUGCUGUCACUUAUAGCUGGAUCCGCGCCGCAUUAGCUAGUUGGUAAGGUAACGGCUUACCAAGGCAACGAUGCGUAGCCGACCUGAGAGGGUGAUCGGCCACACUGGAACUGAGACACGGUCCAGACUCCUACGGGAGGCAGCAGUAGGGAAUCUUCCGCAAUGGGCGAAAGCCUGACGGAGCAACGCCGCGUGAGUGAUGAAGGUCUUCGGAUCGUAAAACUCUGUUAUUAGGGAAGAACAAAUGUGUAAGUAACUAUGCACGUAUUGACGGUACCUAAUCAGAAAGCCACGGCUAACUACGUG